CGCUGUGCUAUUCUGCAGAAGUCCUUUCAGUAGCUCUUCUCGUGAAAAAUUAGUUCUUCGAUUGAAACGGAAAUUCUCUCAGAGCUAAAUUCUUGUUGGUAAGUGAAUAACUUUUCUAAGAGAAAUUUUUAUCUUGUUUGUCCUAAAUAUGUAUUAUUUUGUUAACAAUUAUUUAAUUCCCUUUAGCUGUUCCGCUAUUUUACUUUGCGAGAACGAUCAGUUAUGAAAUCUACGACUAAGAAUCUAUCCCGCCUUUGAAUUCUUUGCCUGGUGGCGUCGGCAAAUACAACGAAGAAGUGAUUGGGUUUCACAACCAAGUAACUCUGUAACGCGAAGCCAUGUAGACGCUGAAUUAGUGGCUCGAUCAGCUUCAAACACGACAACGAGAUGGUUGCUGAAAGAACGCGAGACCCACUGCCACACGAAGCUAGUAUGUUGUGGACGCCCAGACCAGCAUUCGUUACAGCGAGCUUGCAGGAAGACUAACAUUUGUUUCGUCUAUACCACCACCGGUUCUACCGUAGAUUUAAUAAUGUGGACAAGGCUACGAGUACAGCUCAGUGGCCAUGACGCUGUGUCAACGUGCUUCCUACAAUGCAAGGUCAGUAAAACUUUUUCUCAUGAUUAUUUUAAGACAAAUACAACACACAGUCUUUAUUUUUUAUUUGAAUUGCGAUGAGAACUAUGUUUUUCAAAUAAAAUAAAAUUAUUUAAUUGUGCUUUAAGCGUUUGAAAAGUAGGAGAAAGUUGCGGAUUUAGAGAGAUUCAAGAUAUUCAACUGUCCGAAAAAUGCAACAAAACGUUUCGAGCGAAUUCCUUGGUCGAGAAGUUUACUGCCGUGAUGGAUAUUUGCACAUAACAUAUAUUUGUAUGACAAUGUUAAGCUGAUGUAUAACAACGUUUUUAUUUCGUAGUGCUGCAAAUGAAAUAUAUCUUUCCAAGCUAUUAAACUUGUCCUCAAAAUUGAGCGAGUUAUAAUCUGCGUUCCACGCCCGCUCGUGCGGAAAAUUCCUUCAAAAUAAAUUUCUUUCAAAAUCAUAUCUUGACAAUGGAAGCACUGCAUGUCCCACAAUGCCAUGCAGUCAUGUCACGAGGAAGGAGGGAAAAUUAUUUAAACCUCGCUUUAAAAAUUAAACAUUGCUUAAAAGAUUUCUAUAUUGUUUUUCUGAUCUUUUUAUACCAGUAUUCAAACCUGCAAAGGAGCUGUGAAAGCAAGAUAGUUUGAGAGACGUCAAAUAGUACUUCAAGACAAGUCCAGUGUCGAAGUUUCGCUUCGAAGUUCACCGCAACUUGGCGAGGCACAAUUAUUUAACCGACUUCAAACAAGAUGCCUAUAAAACAACUUAUUUAAAGGUAUAUUUUCGCUUAUACUUGUCGUAUUCAUAUACUUAAAGCUUUUAUAUAGUUGCAUGAAUAGUCUACAUGUUUUAAUACGGGCAUUUGAAAGGAAAGUUUGUGAUAAGGUUUGAAAUUUCGAAAUGAAAAUAUGCAUGUGGUGAUGUGGGUUCCAAGACACGUGGCGGAGCCGAAGUAUAAAAGCUUGGUAAAAUGUUUUUGUUUUUCUCUAAUGUUUCUUUCUUGUUAUUACUAUAUAUAUUAUACAUGAAAUGAAACAAAGUUUGUUAUGAAUAAAAGUGUAUUUUUACUUUAGUCUUCUACUGGGGGGGGUUGUACAUGUAUAAGCAAACCCUAUAAACCAAUCCAGGGUGCAUUUCAUUUAUUCGUACUGGAACAGAACAGUACGCCGAGUAUGAUUUGCUAUUCGUACUGCAGUCUGAAUAUUUAAGAUAAACAGACCCCAACCCCCAACCCUUCUCUAAUGUACGAGUCAAAUCUAACUGUGAUCAGCCCCCUCCCCCAGAAACCACAGUCCAACCGCUGAGCAAGUUGUUGUCAAGUGGUCAAAUGCCCAACCUGGCUGUCAAAUUCCUGCUAUACGGAGGUAAUCUUAAGUCAAAUGCGGGGCGGUUGGAUUUAACUUGUAUAUAUCUCUAACCAAUAAAUGUCUAAUAUACUAUUUGCAACUUAAAAAAGUCCUGAAAAAAAAUUUAAAAAUAUUUUAAGAAAAAUGUCAAACAGGAAACCGACAGCAAAAACUUAACCGGACCCGACCUCGUUUUGCUUCACAUGCACGCAGCGCCUUUGCCGCAUAUGCUAGCGGCAAGCUUGCUAAAAGCCAUUGCAAAGAAACUAUUUUAUAUUAUUAAUUUACAAAAUGUAAGAAUUGGGUGACAUACUCCAGUACCAAUAGCCACUUUGUUUAUGUAAAGCCAAUGCUGAAGGUAUGCCAGUACUUGAACAAACUUGCACCAUGUCACAGGAACAAGGAAGCUGCCACACCUAACAUUGAAAAUGUUAUGCCAAUUAGGUUCUAUCACCACUUUCUGUAUCACAGGAAUCUGAGAUCAAUGAUUAAAAAAUGCCAAGAACAACUUGUGCAGUAGUCCAGUCCCAUAUAGACAAUUCUACAGUUAAUCAUUGCCAAAGAUUGUUGGUGUAUAUAUGGCACUUAAAUGCACCCUUGGUAAAUAAAUGUCUAAUAAACAAUUGAGGAGAUGUUUAAAAAAAUUGAGAAAAUAUUUCCAAGUCACACUCUGUUGCCGAUAAGCUAUAAGAGUAGCUCUACUGUGACUUAGCAGGCCAUAAUAUUGAUUGUAUCUGUGUUCUUCUUGAUACUGCCAAGUCCUUUAUUAGUUGUCCAGUGGCUAAAGCAAACAUACACUUUCCAUUUUAGAAAUCUGUGUUUGAAAUACACCUAUAUGAUAAGUUCAAAUGGUAACACAAGAACCUGCAGCAUGGGUUGCCUCAGGUGCAACAGAGUGCUCUCCCUGUCACCAAAAAACAGCUUUAUUGGUUGAACAUCCAGAAUAAUUGUCCUGUAUAUAUAUUCAGGUAUGUUUCAUGUUAGCCUUCAAACUUCAUUGAAUAUAAAUUUUGAGCACUAUUUAUUCAACCAAUUUGGUGUUGAAUAGUGACUGACCGAUAAUUGUAAUCUGGCCCAUUCUUGCCUUAUCAGGUGAGUUCAUAUGAAUUAUGUACAAAUUGGGACGAAGAUGUUACUUUCAAGUAUUUAUCUUAAUGUUGUUUCUUUGUUAUGGGCAGACACAAGUGAUGAAUCAUGAAGUGUAUCAAAGUGGAGAACUCAGCAAAUUAUCCACUGGUGGUCAAAGAGACAUUCUAAAAUGAAGACCAAUUAAUGUCAGCAAGUAUCAGGAUGUUUGGAAAAGAAUGUAUUAUACCAAUGGAAAUAUUCAAUUGCUCAACUGGCUAAUGAAGAUGUUACAAAACUGACAAUGUGCAAUUUCAAAAUUAUUUUGUGGUCAGUGAUGCAAAUACAGUAUAUGGAUCUUGAACAGGUAAAUAGAGUAACCAAUCACAUACACCCUGUUUCAUGUCUUGGAUCAACCUAAUAGUAUUUAACCUAUUCCCCCUGACAACUAAAAUAAUUUGGCAUUAGACAGUGAGAGUAAAAUAAUGUGUGGUGCAUCUACUGUAGGUUCAUAAUCGGCUGACAAUCUGUUUAUAAUCUUUAAGAACUGUCUAGGCUGGGCUGUUCUUGAAAAAAACAGAAACCGAAAACCGUCAAGAAAAAAUCGGAAAAACCGGUUUUUAAUCUAUAAAUGACACACAGCCAUAAAAUGGUGUAGCAUGUGUAUUUAUUAUGUGAAUAAUUUCGGUUUUAGAUGCUUGUAAUAUCAAAAGCUUUAUAGGGCCAAAAAAAAAAUAUGUGGGUUUCCGGUUUCUUCUUAUAAAAACUUAGGUAGGGUAGGUCGGUUUUAACUUUUUUUUUAACUUUUUUUUUAUUUUUCCGAAUAAGCGGAUGCCACUUCCACAUCCAAAGAUAAAUUUCCCUAAUAUUGCCUCAAAUUUCAAUUUUCCACAAACUUUUUCCUCUAAGUGGAAACAUUUACAAGCAUAAUACACUAAAAAAGUUUAGGGUCGGGAUUUCGACGUCCAAAAGCUAGGUAGGGUCGGGAAACCGGAAACCCACAUAUUUUUUUUUGGCCUAGGUAAAAGGUAUAAAAAUACAAGUAAGAAGACAGUGUUAAAAGAAUGUAUUUUUAUCUCCUUUUGUCCUGGUUCUUUCCGGUUUUUCGACACUUGGACUUCGGCAAAACCGGAAAAAAGUUUUUCAAUGCCCCAGGGCUGGUUGUUGAAAAGCCGGUUAUCCUAACCCUGGGUUAACACAAAUCUACAAAUUAAGUUUUCCAACAGUUCAUCAAUCAAGUUCAAUAUGUUUUUCCAGAAAUCUUUUCUGGUUCAAUAGAGGUUUUAUUUCAUAAAGUUUUGAAACGAAUGAUCAUGCAGAAAUACAUAAACAAAAACAGCAGGUUAAAAUUUAACCCAGGGUUAGCACUAAUUGGGCUUUGAACAACCGGCCCCCAGCCUAGAAUUGUCUGUGUCAGUGUAGAUAGUGCCAAUAUAACAAUUGAACAAGCUUUCGUUGAACAAGCUUAGGAGAAUUUUGAUGUUUCAGUGUUUGGAGUUACUUGCCUAGUAGCACUUGAAACGUUGAGAAUCUUUAGUUAUUAUAUUUUCAGCUAGUGUAUCCCCACCAACGAAAGCUUGUUCAUGAUAGUUGGGUUUCCUAGCAUUAAUGCAUUACACUCUUCCACGAGUAAAUACAAGAAAAAAACACAAUAAAGAUAAGUGAGUAAAUAAAAAAAAAGUCAAAUAUAUUUUUCGAAAGUGUUAUUUCUCAUGAAGAAAAAAGUUGCCUGUGUAGGAAGGAAUGUGACUGGAUGCCCAUAUGCCCUAGCUAUAUACUGAAGUCUGAGGUUGUCUAGGAUCCAGUAUUCCUGGGGCCAUGUGUUCAAAUGUGCCAGGUGGGUUAGCGCUAACCCUGGGUUAAAAUGUAACCUACUGUAAAUUUUAGUUUGUGUAUUUCUGCACAUCUGUUCAUUUCAAAACUUCAGAAAAGUAUAGACUCCUAUCAAUCCAGACAAGAUCUCUGAAGAAAUAUUUCCAAAUUUAUAGACAAGCUGUCAGGAAGUUUGCUUUGAAUUUUAGGUUAACCUAGGGUAGCUCUAGGUUAACCUAAAAUUCAAAGCAAACUUCCCAACAGCUUGUUUAAAAAUUUGGAAAUAUUUCUUCAGAGAUCUUGUCUGGAUUAGCAGGAGUUUUUCUCUGAAGUUUUGAAAUAAACAUUGGUCUGCAGAGAUGCACAUUAUCAAACUAAAACGGCAGGUUAUAUUUGAACCGAGAACUACAGUAGCACUAACCUACCUUUAAACAACCAGCCGUAGAAGUGUUGGAAUAGCCAACAUAAUUUCUAAUCAUCAUAAUUUUUAACUACAGACAAUAAAUUGGUAUCGUGAAGUGGACAGGAUCAUUCUGGGUGCAAACAAACCAAAUUAAAUUGUUCUGGUGCAAACAAACCAAAUUAAAUAGUUCUGGUGCAGACAAACAAAAUUAAAGGGAAUUUAUGACUACAAGGUACCAAACUUUUUUUAGUUUAAAUCAAAAGUAACUUAGGCUGAGGCACCUUGGGAAAAUAACUAAAAACAAAAAUGUGUUUUGUG